AUGCAUGUGGACUAGAAAAUUGAAUCCAGAAAUACCUCGUUAAAAGCGAGUCUGGAUAAAGGGAGAAAUAUGAUCAUGGCGAGUUAUCCAUUGAAGGAUGCAGAACACCACAUUAGAAAAUUUGAUGAAUGGGUUGAAAAAAUGAGAGAAGAUGGAGUGUUUGGGGAAUUAGAGGGGCCCCCUCCAAACACUUCACAACGUGGUUUUUAUUUGGAUACACUAAAAAAUAGAUUGUCACAAGCUCGUGAAAAAAUGGCUGGUGCUGGUGUGUUCGGACGAGACAAACACCAGAAGGUAGAAACAAAACUUUUGGAUCUGAUUAGACAAACCCAGUUCAAUUUUAGUAACUAUUUUUCUGACAAGGACCAUGAACAGGAACAGGUGGAGCAAAACGGGGCUCAGGGAGGUGAGCAGGCACUCGACACUUCAGAGGAUGCCUGUUAUGGAGUUGCGUGACGGUCAGAUAAAUUGUGAAAUAAGGCCUACAGAGGAAGAAUUGGGACAAGAGGUACGAAAGGAGUUUCAGAUGCAAGAUUUAAUAGAGGAGGCGGUAAAUAAAGCAUUUCAGCGAAUGUCAACAAUUGAUAGCAUGGGCACAGAACAUGAAGGGCACAGUCUAGGGGCAGCUGACAGUCUGAGAGGGAGAGAUGAGCAGAGGAAGCCACAUACGGAUAGCAAUGAGGAAGAUAUGAUACAAAGGGAAAGGAAAGCUUAAAAUAUAAGAGGUUGAUAUAUUUACAAUUUACGAUGUCUUGAAAUGAACAUUUUAAAGGUAAGAAGAUCAAUUAGUACAUUUUCAGUGCUGUAAACCCCGGCCCAACAUUGAGCUCCAGAAGGUGGAUCACACAGAGCAGCCGUUCACUUAGAGGCAGGAGAGAAAAGAAAAAGAAGACACAGAGAGACUGAGUGCGCACAGGGCCGAUCACAGCAAAGGCAGGGCCCAGGAGUCUAGAAGCAGUUUUUACCUUAAAGACAUCUACCAAUUACUACACUAGAAUGGUAUUGUAAUCUGCAUUUAGAGUGACUGAUUCAGGAGCUUAUAUUUGAAAAUGUUAGACCACACAAGCUAAGUUUGUCAAACUGUAGCAAA